rnacentral:rRNA from 1 species
UCCGUUGUGAAAGCCCUGGGCUCAACCUGGGAACUGCAUUGGAUACUGGGCGACUAGAGUGUGGUAGAGGGUAGCGGAAUUCCUGGUGUAGAGGUGAAAUGCGUAGAUAUUGGGAGGAACAUCCAUGGCGAAGGCGGCUACCUGGACCAACACUGACGCUGAGGCACGAAAGCGUGGGGAGCAAACAGGAUUAGAUACCCUGGUAGUCCACGCCCUAAACGAUGCGAACUGGAUGUUGGGUGAAUUUUGCCCCGCAGUAUCGAAGCUAACGCGUUAAGUUCCCCGCCUGGGGAGUACGGUCGCAAGACUGAAACUCAAAUGAAUUGACGG